AUCUCUAUAGUUUUAUCUUUUCUAAAAUGUCAUGUAGUUGCAUCAUACAGUAUGCAGCUUCUUUGACUUAGCAAUAGGCAUUUAAGGUUCCUCCAUGUGUUUUUGUGCCUUGAGAGCUCAUUUCUUUUUAUUGCUGAAUAAUAUUCCACUGUAUAACUAUACCAAGAUUUGUUUUUCUUACACUUAUUGAAGGAUAUCUUGAGUCCUUCCAUGUUUUGGCAAAUCUGAAUAAAGCUACUAUAAACAUUUUUGUGCAGGUUUUUGAGUGGACAGGUUUUCAAUUCACAUGCAUAAAUAUCCAUGAGUGCAAUUGUUGGAUUGUAUGGUUAAGAGUAUGUUUGGUUUUGUAGGAAACUGCCAAACUGUCUUUCAAAGUGGCUGUACAAUUUUGCAUUCCUAUCAGCAGUUUGUGAGCGCUCCUCUUGUUCUGCAUCCUUUGGUGGUGCCAAUGUUUUGGAUUUUAGUGUCCUAAUAGGUUUGCAGUAAUAUUUCAUUGUUUUAAUUUGCAAUUCCCUAGUGAGAUGUUGAAUAUCUUUUCAUAUGCUUAUUUACCAUCUGUAUAUCUUCUUUGGUGUCAAGUGUCUGUUCAUGACUUUUGCCUAUUUUUAAUCAUGUUAUUGUUGAAUUUUAAGAGUUCUUUGUGUAUUUGGGACACAAGUCCUUUAUUAGCUAUGUGUUUGACAAAUAUCUUUCCCCAGUUUGUGGCUUGUCUUUCCAUUCUUAAUAGUAUCUUUUGCAAAGCAUUAAAUUUUUAUUUUUGAUGAAGUCCAGCUUAUCAGUUUUUCUUUUGUGAGUCGUGAUUUUGGUGUUGCACCUAAACAGUCAUCACCAAACCCACGGUCACCUAGAUUUUCUCCUGUUAUCUUUUAGAAGCUCUAUAGUUUUGCAUUUUACUUUAUGUCUAUGAUCCAUUUUGAGUUAAUUUUUGUGGAAGGUAUAAGCUCAGUUUCUAUUCUCUGUCCCUCCCUCUCUCUCUGUUUUUUUUUUGCAUGUAGAUGUCCAGUUGAUGUAACACAAUUUUUAGAGAAGAUUGCCAUGCCGUUUGAUGUCCUUUUUCAAUGGAGUAUGCUCAAAUGUGCAUACACAAAAUUGAGUUCUUAUUAUUAAAAUAAGAAACCUGAGAUUAUCAUCAUUGUUUUGACUUACAAAGCUUAAAAAUACUGAGAAGUUAGUAGCUAGCAUAUUAAGUAAGAGCUUGGGCUCUGGAACAAGUCAUUUCUUUUAUUCAGAUUCUGAAUAUGCCAUUUACUAGUUGUGACCUUGGACAAAUUAUUUAACUGCCCCAACCUCCUCAUCUAUAAAAAGUGUUUUUAUACUAAAUAAAUUCUGUGUAUUGUAAAGCAUAAAGCAUUUAGUAUAGUGCUUUGCCUAUAUUAUAGUUAUGGAAACUUAAUAAUAAUAAUAAUAAAGAGCCUCAAGUAUUUUGGAUACUUUUAAUUCACUAAUCUCUGUUGUUCCUUGUGGUGUGUUGUAAGGGAAUAAUAAUAUAAACAGGAAUAAACAAUAUACUUGGACCUUUUCUAUCAUUAUUGAUGACUUUCUGGCAGAAGCAGAUUUACAUAAGGGAGCUUAAUGAAUGACCUUGAAUAACCAUCAUUUAAAGAGUAUAAAAUGUAUGGGGCACCUGAGUGGCUCAGUCGGGUUAAGCGUCCGACUUCCGCUCAGGUCAUGAUCUCACAGUUCCUGAGUUCGAGCCCCGUGUCGGGCUUUGUGCUGACAGCUCAGAGCCUGGAGCCAUCUUCAGAUUCUGUGUCUCCUUCUAUCUCUCUGGCCCUCCCCUGCUCAUGCUCUGUCUCUCUCUGUCUCAAAAAUAAAUAAAAACAUUAAAAAAAUUUUUAAGUAUAAACUGUAAAAACAAAAACGGUGCUUCAUUCUUAUAUGCUCUGUUUUUUCUAAAAAUCAAUAAAUACCAUCAAAUCGCUUAAGACUAAAGGUUAUAGGUAUAAGAAGAUGGUGAAAGAAGAGUUGUAGCACUUUAUAAAAUGUAUUUAAUUGCUUUGCAUAUGAUGUAUUAUACACUAUCUGCUUCGUUAUAUAUUUAGAAUCAUUUCUUACUUUAGAUUGUGUUUUAGUUCUUUAAGGUAAUGUGUCUUCAGUUCUUCAGAAUCUGUCACAGAAUUUCUGGGCAGAGAAGCAUGUGUUUCUUAAUUGCUGUGGAUAAGCUAUUUCUUUAAAAGUGUUCUUUUCUAGUAUCUUACUACUUGAUUUUUUUUCCCCCCUUAAGAGUAGAUGAGGAACCGUUAGCAGUAUAAUUAAGAAAUGCCUGUCUGUUUUUAAAGUUCAGGCUGGGUAAGACAAAGGGAUAAACAAGGGUCCUUUAGGGCAACUUCUUGAAUAAAAGCUAAGCAGUUCCUUAUUUGCUUCAAGUAAUUGCUUAUGAAUUGAAUUAUGGGUAUUUCCACACUUACAUAUUCAGCAUUUCUGUGUAUUUAGUAUAUAAGGUAUUGGGGUGAUAAUUGUUUAAUGCACUGAUAAGAAUUGCUGUCCUGCUGAGUUAUCAUAAAGUUUGAGUUUUUCAAAGCAAAUUUGAGUUUUAGGUUAAAUUUAUUUCUGUGGUACAGAAUUUGUAAAUGUGUCUUAACAGUGAUUCUAAAAUGCUUAUUGAUGCAUGCUAUUAUUUUGAUCUCUGUGUAAACAGUUCUUUCUUUUAAAACUGCUAUGCGCCCCAGAUUUGUUUUUUAAAUUAACUCUAUUCUCAGUGAUUUGGCACCUAUAUGAGUCAUGGUAGCCCUUCUCUUUGAUAUUUAAAUUGGUGAUACCCUGAGGAUGUUCAAAACAAAACAAAACAACAGAAGCUAGUGACCAGAAUUAAUUUGACAACAUAUUCUUAAUGAGGAUAUCUUCUGAAUUGCCAGAAUAAACUAAUAAUUUAUAUUUUCCUGCUAUAUAGUAAAAAAAAAAAAACAACCAAGACUUUUUUUUUGGGGGGGGGGGGCAAAUUGUACCUGAUACUGGUUUUAGUCAUUGAAUCCACCAUAGAGCACCAGCAGGCUACAUACUAUAUAAAGUACAGAGACUUUUUAAAGUACAUUCCAUUUAAGGGGCACCUCGGUGGCUCAGUCAGUUGAGCAUCUGAAUUCGGCUUGGGUCAUGAUCUCGUGAUUUGUGGGUUCGAGCCCCGCAUUGGGUUCUGUGCUGACAGCUCAGAGCCUGGAGCCUACUUUGGGUUCUGUGUCUCCCUCUCUCUGCCCCUCCCCCACCUGCACUCUGUCUCUCUCUCAAAAAUAAAUAAGUAUUUUUUAAAAGUACAUUCCAUUUAUGAUAAAGAUAUUCAACAAAUGAGGAAUAGGAGGGAACUUUGUCUACCUGAUAAAGAGCAUCUAUGAAAAAACCAUGAGUGUACAUCACACUUAAUGAUGAAAGACUGACUACUUUCCCUUAAGAUCAGAAGCAAGAUAAACAACCUUCAACAUUGAGGUUCUUGACAGGGCCUUUGGCAAGAAAAAGAAAAGGCAUCCAGAUGGGUAAGAAAGAAGUUAAAAGUAUCUCUGUUGCAGACGUGUAUAGAAAGUUCAAGAAAUCCACUAUUUAAAAAAAACUUUUUUAAUGUUUAUGUUUGGGAGGGAGGGAGGGACACAGAGAGAGGGAGACACAGAAUCUGAAACAGGCUCCAGGCUCUGAACUGUCAGCACACAGCCUGAUGCGGGGCUUGAACUCGGAAACGGGAAUGGCGAGAUCAUGACGUAGGCCAAAGUCAGAUGCUUAACCCGCUGAGCCACCCAGGUAUUCCCAAGAAACCCACUAUUAAUUCACUGUUAUAGCUGAUAAACGAGCUCAGCAAGAUAGAGAAUCAAUGUAAAAAAUCAGUUGUAUUUUUAUACAGUAGAAAUGAGCAAAUUAUUGGAAAACCAUUCCAUUCAUGGUAGCAUCAAACGAAAUAAAAUACUUAACAAAAUUAACAAUAAAUUAUUUAAUAAAUUUAAUGAAAGAAUGACAAAACUUGUACUAUGGAAAUUAUAAAACAUUGUUGAAAGAAAUUAAGAAGAACAAAAUAAAUGGGAAGACAUCCCAUGUUUAUGGACUGGAAGACUUAAUAUUGUUAAGGUGGCAAUAUGCCUCUAAUUCCCAGAUUCAGUAUGAUCGCUAUCACAAUUUCAACUGCCUUUUUGCAGAAAUUGAUAAGCUGAUCCUAAAAUUCAUAUGGAAAUAUAAGGGAUCCUGUAUUAGUUUUCUAGGGCUGACAUAAAGUACCCAAAAGUAGGUGGCUGAAAACAAAAGAGGUUUGUUGUUUCAUAGUUCCAGAAGCUAGAAGUCCAAAAUCAAGGUGUUGAACAGGUGAUGCACUCUCUGACAGCUGUAGGGAAGAAUCCUCCCUUGCCUCUUCUAGUUUCUGGUGUUUGCCAAUAGUCCUUGGCAUUCCUUUGCUUGUGUAUGCAUGACUCCAUUUACCUGGAUAUCUUUUCCCUGUGUGUGUCUUCACAUUGUCUUCCCUUUGUGUGUUGUGUGUUUGUGUCCCAAAGCCCCCUUUUUAUAAUGAAAGGACACCAGUAAUAUUGGAUUAGAGACACUUGAAUAAUCUCAUUUUAACUUGAUUAUUUCUAUAAAGCCUUUCUUUCCAAAAUCACAUUCUGAGGUACUCAGGUUUAGAACUUCUAUGUAACUGUUUCUAGGGGUUGGUGGUGGGCGGGGGGUGAGGGGGACCCAAUUCAACCCAUAACAGAACCUGAAUAGCUCAAAAAAUCUUGACAAAAAAAAAGUUGGAAGACUUUUACUUCCCAAUUUCAAGACUUAUUACAAAGCUACAAUAAUCAAGACUGUGUGCAGCUGGCAUAAGGAUAGACAGAUCAAUGAAAUAGAUCUGAGUGUUUAAAAAUAAACCCUUACAGUGCUUGUUUCGGCAGCACAUAUACUAAAAUUGGAAUGAUACACAGAAGAUUAGCAUGGCCCCUGCGCAAGGAUGACACGCAAAUUCGUGAAGCUUCCGUAUUUUUUUUGUAUCGAAACCAAUUUGACAACAAUUUCAUAUAAAAAAAAAUAAACCCUUAAAUUUAUGGUCAGUGGUUUUGAAAAGGAUACCAGGACAAGUUGGAAAAGAAUAGUCUUUUCCACAAACAGUCUGGGACAACUGGAUAUCCACAUGCAAAAGCAAUGAAGUUGAGGGUGUCUGGGUGGCUCAGUCAGUUAAGUGUCUGACUCUUGAUUUCUGCCCAGGUCACAAUGUCAUGGUUGAUGGGGUUGGGCUCUGCAUUGUCAUUCUCCCAAGAGAAUACCACUUGGGAUUCUCUCUCCCUUUCUGCCCCUCUCCUGCUCCUGUUCUGUCUCUCUUAAAAUAAACAAACAAACUUACAAAAAAAAAAA